rnacentral:rRNA from 1 species
GACGAACGCUGGCGGCGUGCCUAAUACAUGCAAGUCGAACGGAAAGACCAUGCGUUUGUGGGGUGCUCGAGUGGCGAACGGGUGAGUAAAACGUGUGUAACCUGUCCUUGUAUUUGGGAUAACAUCAGGAAAAUGGGGCGAUAAUACGAGAGGAGCUACUGCUGCGCGGGGGGGGUUGGAAAGAUUCGGCGGUUGGGGAUGGAUUCGCGGCUUAUGCGCCUGUUGGGCGGGUAGUGGAUGACCAAGUUUGUGAAGGGUAGGCGGCCUGGGAGGGUGGCCGGCCACAUUAGUACUGCGGUACGGCGCAGUCGCCUACGUGCCGCAACAGUCGGGAGUAUUGCGCAAUGGGCGGAAGCCUGAUGCAGCAGCGCCGCGUGCGGGAUGACGGCCUUCGAGUUGUAAACCGCUUUCGCCGGUGCCAAAGCGUUCGUGACGGUAAUUGGUCAAGAAGCACCGGCUAACUACGUG